rnacentral:rRNA from 1 species
AACGAACGCUGGCGGCAGGCUUAACACAUGCAAGUCGAACGCAUCCUUCGGGGUGAGUGGCAGACGGGUGAGUAACGCGUGGGAACGUGCCCUUCAGUUCGGGAUAACCCAGGGAAACUUGAGCUAAUACCGGAUACGUGCGAGAGCAGAAAGAUUUAUCGCUGAAGGAUCGGCCCGCGUCUGAUUAGCUAGUUGGUGGGGUAAUGGCCCACCAAGGCGACGAUCAGUAGCUGGUCUGAGAGGAUGAUCAGCCACAUUGGGACUGAGACACGGCCCAAACUCCUACGGGAGGCAGCAUUGGGGAAUAUUGGACAAUGGGCGCAAGCUUGAUCCAGCCAUGCCGCGUGAGUGAUGAAGGCCUUAGGGUUGUAAAGCUCUUUCGUCCGGGACGAUAAUGACGGUACCGGAUGAAGAAGCCCCGGCUAACUUCGUGCCAGCCGCCGCGGUAA